GGCCCGGGGACCGAACCGAGUCAGGAAAAAACCUACUAUGUUUAAAAGUGAGGCGAGUUUGCGUUGGCGUCAGUGACCUGAUUUACCAGCUUUCUCCUUCACUGUGGAUGUUUCUUAGAAGCUCAAACAUCCGCCCACCCGUCCCGGCGCGUCCUGAUGACCCGGCAGGACACGAAGCGCCGAACACGGAGAGCGGCCGUCGUCAAUAAGCGAAUUAAAUGUGUAGUCGAUAACGAAGAUGGAGGGAGGUGAAGAGCGAGAACCGAUAACGAGAAGUGAUAAAUGGGCACAAGGAUGAAAGGAGCGGCGCAGUGGAUGCGGUGCAGCCGCGUCUCAUCUACACUCAGGGGUGCAAAUCUUUCUGUUUUGUCUUUUGUUUCCUGUUUCCUCACUUCCCCAAACACACAAACACAAUAACAACAUCUACAAGGCUGUGAGAAGAAGCACAUUUCUGUCUGAAACACAAAACUAUUAUUUCCUAAUAACAGAUUUUUACAUAGAGAUAAAAGUUGGUAUGAAAUGAGACACAGGUGGUGAACAUCGACCGGGUGGAGUGAUGGAGCUGUGACGCCGUCACCACACAGAAGUUAAUAAAAAAAAAAAACAAGAAUAAAUUCUUCUGUCCUGAAGAUUUCUGAAAAUGUACCAGCUUUAACUCUGACUGACACAAAGCACCGACGGUGGAAACUCCUUCUGCACGGUGAAGACACAGCACCAGUGUGACACUGAAGUUUCUUCAUGAUGCGGUGCACCAAAUGAUCUUAUCAGCUGUACAGGGUUCUGUGUUUAUUGGUGUAUAUAAGGGUUUGGUCUACAAAAUACCACCCACGUCUCUCUCUCACACACACACACACACACACACACACA